AUGCCUUCACUAUUGCUACGCUUCAACGACUCUUUUUAUAUUAUUUUAUAUAACACUUUUUUUAGUAUAAACGGUCAUCUUAAAGCACUACUUUUGCAGGUCUCACAGGGUUGAAGCGCUGCUCAACAUUCUGUCACGGAUUGUAAUGGUUAUUGAUACGUUUCAGCUAGUUUCUUGAAUCUAUGUUUGUUGAUCAAGCUGAUGUGAUUGGUGAUUGAAGAGACAAACGAGGCCACCCAAGAUUUUAAUAAUAUUGAAUGGAAGAGUGGUUCCUCGAGAAUCGUUUCUGAGGAUUCCGGUCAUAAGAUUUAUAUCUAGUUAUUGAUAUGCUAACCACGUGUAUGCGUGUACAUUUAGCUGUGACUAAUGUUCCUUGUGUUGUGAUGUGGGCAAGUUUAUGUGACUGAAAGCUGAUGUGAUCAAGUUUUUAGGAUCGGGUCAACGAGCUUUAAGAUCGUGUGGUUUAGUGUGCAUCAUUUGUUAAGUUCUUUUCGGGGCAAAUACUUGU
rnacentral:lncRNA from 1 species